ACUCUUGCAUGAUGAUCAAGCUUUUAUUUUAUACAGUUAUCCCUGUCUGAACUGUUUUUGUUGAUAAAGUCUAACUUCUGAUCGCUU
rnacentral:snoRNA from 1 species